CUCCCCAAAAAGUGCCCAGGCUGUCCCAACAACUGCACCUCAAAGCCAAAGGAUCCAGACUUUUUUUCCUGGUGGAAAGAGCUGCUGUUCCCUUUCUUCAGCCCUGCGCUGCAAUGGCCGAUCCCACGUCCUGAAAAAUAGAAUCCAGCUGAAGAUUCCUGCCAGACAAAAGGUGCCACCACAGAAAGGUCUUCCUGCUCAAGAAGUGCCCAGGCUGUCCGAACAAUUGCACCUCAAAGCCAAAUCUUCCAGACUUUUUUUUUCUGGUGGAAAGAGCUACUGUUCCCUUUUUUCAGGCUUGCGCUGCAAUGGCCGGUCCCACCUCCUGGAAAACUGAAUCCAAAUGAAGAUUCUUGCAGACAAAUGUGCCACAACAGAAAAGUCUUGCUGCCCAAGAAGUUCCCAGGCUGCACCAACAACUGCACCUCAAAGCUAAAGUUUCCAGACUUCUUUUCGUGGUGGAAAGAGCUGCUGUUCCCUUUUUUCUGCCCUGCUCUGCAAUGGCCGAUCCUACCUUCUGAAAAAUAGAAUCCAGCUGAAGAUUCCUGCCAGACUAAAGGUGCCACCACAGAAAGGCCUUCCUGCUCAAGAGGUUCCCUGGCUGUCCCAAAACUGCACCUCAAACCAAAGCUUCCAGAUAUUUUUCCUAGUGGAAAGAGCUGCUGUUCCCUUUUUUCUGCCCUGCGCUGCAAUGGCCGGUCCCACCUCCUUAAAAAUUGAGGGAAAAUGAAGAUUCAUGCCAGACAAAAGGUGCCACCACAGAAAACUCUUGCUGCCCAAGAAGUACCCAGGCUGCACCAAGUCCACCUGAAGUCAAAGCCUCCAGAGUUCUUUUCCUGGUGGAAAGAGCUGCUGUUCCCUUUUUCAGCCCAGCGCUGCAAUGGCGGGCCCCACAUCCUGGAAAAUGGAACGUAAAUGAAGAUUCCUGCCAGAAAAAAGGUGCCACCACAAAAAGGUCUUCCUGCUCAGGAAGUGCCCAGGCUUCCCCAACAACUAAACCUGAAGCCAAAGCUUCCAGAGUUUUUUUCCUGCUAAAAAGAGCUGCUGCUCCCUUUUUUCUGCCCUGCGCUGCAAUGGCCGGUCCCACCUGCUGGAAAAUGGAACGGAAAUGAAGAUUCCUGCCAGACAAAAGGUGCCACCACAGAAAGAUCUUCCUGCUAAAGAAGUGCCAAUGCUGUCCCAAAACUGCACCUCAAACCAAAGCUUCCAGACUUUUUUUCCUGGUGGAAAGAGCUGCUGUUCCCUUUUUUCUGCCCUGCGCUGCAAUGGCCGGUCCCACCUCCUGGAAAAUUGAAUGUAAAUGAAGAUUCCUGCCAGACAAAACGUUCCACCACAGAAAGGUCUUGCUGCCCAAGAAGUGCCCGGGCUGCACCAACUACACCUGAAGCCAACGCUUCCAGACUUUUUUCCUGGUGGAAAGAACUGCUGUUCCAUUUUUUCAGGCCUGCACUGCAAUGGCCGAUCCCACCUCCUUGAAAAUUUAUUCUAAAUGAAGAUUCCUGCCAGACUAAAGGUGCCACCACAGAAAGGUCUUCCUGCUCAAGAAGUGCCCAGGCUGCCCAGAACUGCACCUCAAAGCCAAAGCUUCCAGACUUUUUUCCUUGUGGAGAGAGCUGCUGUUCCAUUUUUUCAGGCCUGCGCUGCAAUGGCCGGUCCCACCUCCUGGAAAAUUUACUCUAAAUGAAGAUUCCUGCCAGACUAAAGGUGCCACCACAGAAAAAUCUUCCUGCCCAAAAAGUGCCCAGGCUGCCCCAACAACUGCACCUCAAAGCCAAAGCUUCCAGACUUUCUUUCCUGGUGGAAAGAGCUGCUGUUCCCUUUUUUCAGGCCUGCGCUGCAACAUCCGGUCCCUCCUCCUGGAAAAUUUACUCUAAAUGAAGAUUCCUGCCAGACUAAAGGUGCCACCACAGAAAGGUCUUCCUGCUCAAGAAGUGCCCAGG